GUACCAUAACCGACACAGGUGGGUAGGUAGAGUAUACUAAGGGGCGCGAGAUAACUCUCUCUAAGGAACUCGGCAAAAUGACUCCGUAACUUCGGGAGAAGGAGUGCCUUAUUUAUAAGGUUGCAAUAACAAGAUCCAAGCAACUGUUUAUCAAAAACACAGGUCUCCGCUAAGUCGUAAGACGAUGUAUGGGGGCUGACGCCUGCCCAGUGCCAGAAGGUUAAAGAAGUUGGUUAGUGUAUGCGAAGCUGAUGACUGAAGCCCUGGUGAACGGCGGCCGUAACGAUAACGGUCCUAAGGUAGCGAAAUUCCUUGUCGGGUAAGUUCCGACCCGCACGAAAGGCGUAAUGAUUUGGAUACUGUCUCGGAGAGAGGCUCGGUGAAAUAGACUUGUCUGUGAAGAUGCGGACUACCUGCACCAGGACAGAAAGACCCUAUGAAGCUUUACUGUAACUUGAAAUUGGAAUUGGACUUUGCUUGCGCAGUAUAGGUGGGAAGCGUUGAAGAUAUUCUUGCGGGAGUAUUGGAGCUAUCAGUGAGAUACCACUCUUGUAAUGUUAGAUUUCUAACUUUGAACCAUAAUCUGGUCAAAGAACAGUUUCAGGUGGGCAGUUUGACUGGGGCGGUCGCCUCCCAAAUGGUAACGGAGGCGUACAAAGGUUUCCUCUGAACGGAUAGAAAUCGUAUCUAGAGUGUAAAGGCAUAAGGAAGCUUGACUGUGAGACCUACAAGUCGAGCAGGGACGAAAGUCGGUCUUAGUGAUCUGACGGUACUGAGUGGAAAGGCCGUCACUCAACGGAUAAAAGUUACUCUAGGAUAACAGGCUGAUCUCCCCCAAGAGUUCACAUCGACGGGGAGGUUUGGCACCUCGAUGUCGGCUCAUCGCAUCCUGGGGCGGUAGUACGUCCCAAGGGUUGGGCUGUUCGCCCAUGAAAGCGGUACGCGAGCUGGGUUCAGAACGUCGUGAGACAGUUCGGUCCAUAUCCGGUGUAGGCGUUAGAAUAUUGAGAGGAGCCUUCUUUAGUACGAGAGGACCGAGAAGGACACACCGCUGGUGUACCAGUUAUCGUGCCAACGGUAAACGCUGGGUAGCUAUGUGUGGAGUGGAUAACCGCUGAAAGCAUCUAAGUGGGAAGCCCACCUCAAGAUGAGUACUCCCAUGGGGUUAACCCAGUAAGGUCACGGGAAGACCACCCGUUUAUAGGUACUAGAUGGAAGCGCAGCAAUGUGUGAAGUCGAGGGAUACUAAUAGACCGAGGGCUUGCCC
rnacentral:rRNA from 1 species